UACGUAGGGCGCAAGCGUUGUCCGGAAUUAUUGGGCGUAAAGAGCUCGUAGGUGGCUUGUCACGUCGGGUGUGAAAGCUUGGGGCUUAACUCCAGGUCUGCAUUCGAUACGGGCUGGCUAGAGGUAUGCAGGGGAGAACGGAAUUCCUGGUGUAGCGGUGAAAUGCGCAGAUAUCAGGAGGAACACCGGUGGCGAAGGCGGUUCUCUGGGCAUUACCUGACGCUGAGGAGCGAAAGUGUGGGGAGCGAACAGG
rnacentral:rRNA from 1 species